UGCCCAGCAACUCCUAUCCCUACCUCCACGUGGUACCGGCCGGAAACUAUGAGCAACCUUAGGGAAGA
rfam:Aedes albopictus isolate Foshan contig48515, whole genome shotgun sequence.